UACGAAGGGGGGCUAGCGUUGCUCGGAAUCACUGGGCGUAAAGGGUGCGUAGGCGGGUCUUUAAGUCAGGGGUGAAAUCCUGGAGCUCAACUCCAGAACUGCCUUUGAUACUGAGGAUCUUGAGUUCGGGAGAGGUGAGUGGAACUGCGAGUGUAGAGGUGAAAUUCGUAGAUAUUCGCAAGAACACCAGUGGCGAAGGCGGCUCACUGGCCCGAUACUGACGCUGAGGCACGAAAGCGUGGGGAGCAAACGGG
rnacentral:rRNA from 1 species